rnacentral:rRNA from 1 species
CGCCCCUUCGGGGGAGUGGCAGACGGGUGAGUAACGCGUGGGAACCUACCCAAUGGUACGGAAUAACGCAGGGAAACUUGUGCUAAUACCGUAUAAGCCCUUCGGGGGAAAGAUUUAUCGCCAUUGGACGGGCCCGCGUUGGAUUAGCUAGUUGGUGGGGUAAAAGCUCACCAAGGCGACGAUCCAUAGCUGGUCUGAGAGGAUGAUCAGCCACACUGGGACUGAGACACGGCCCAGACUCCUACGGGAGGCAGCAGUGGGGAAUAUUGGACAAUGGGGGAAACCCUGAUCCAGCCAUGCCGCGUGGGUGAAGAAGGCCUUAGGGUUGUAAAUCCCUUUCAGCGGGGAAGAUAAUGACGGUACCCGCAGAAGAAGCCCCGGCUAACUCCGUGCCAGCAGCCGCGGGAAUACGGAGGGGGCUAGCGUUGUUCGGAAUUACUGGGCGUAAAGCGCACGUAGGCGGACUGUUUAGUCAGAGGUGAAAUCCCGGGGCUCAACCUCGGAAUUGCCUUUGAUACUGGCAGUCUUGAGUUCGAGAGAGGUGAGUGGAAUUCCGAGUGUAGAGGUGAAAUUCGUAGAUAUUCGGAGGAACACCAGUGGCG